UUCUGGAGCUAAUACAUGCAACACAAAAAUAUUUCCCAUGCAAAUGGGAAAAAAAUGCUCUUAUUGUUCCACAAGACCAAUCGCUCUUUAAAGGGCAUCGAUCUACACUCUAAAUAAUUCAAAUAGAUCGGACGAUCUAUCGGCGCUAUACCUUUUCAAAUGCCUAAUUUAUUAAACUUACGAUGGUACACUUUGUGUCCACCAUGGCCCUCAUGGGUAACGGAGAAUUGGGGUUCCACUCCGGAGAGGGAGCCUGAGAAACGGCUACCACAUCCAAGGAAGGCAGCAGGCACGCAAAUUACCCAAUCCCGGCACGGGGAGGUGGUGACAAUAAAUACCAAUACGGGACUCUUCUGAGGCCCCGUAAUUGGAAUGAGUGCACAAUAAACCCUUGAACAAGGAUCCAUUGGAGGGAAAGUCUGGUGCCAGCAGCCGCGGUAAAUCCAGCUCCAAUAGCGUAUAUUAAAUUUGCUGCGGUUAAAAAGCUCGUAGUUGGUACUACUACAUUACUGCAACACUGUUGGUUCGCCGCCUGUUGGUGCGUGUUACUGGCAUGCUGUUGCUUGACCUGUCGGCUCGAAUAAAAACCGGGAAAUCUUUCGCGAAUGGACCCAUUUGUUGAGAAGUUUACUCGGGCGUCUUAAAGAGGGGCUCGCUCCUCCAGUCGUCCGGUACUUCCAACCGGGCCUGUGUGAUUGUCAUUUAACCGAUUAUUCAUCCCAUCCUUUCGUGAGCUCUUGACUGAGUUUCGAUUGGUAUGGGGCCGACACGUCGACACUUUGAACAAAUUAGAGUGCUCAAAGCAAGCUCAAAUUUCUGCCUGAAUAAUGGUGCAUAGAAUAAGAGAAAAGGACCUUGUUCGUUCUAUUCUGUUGGUCUCCGGAACACAGGGUAAUGAUCAAUAAGGACUGUCGGGGGCAAUCGUAUUGCGGCGUUAGACUUGGCAAAUGCUUUCGCGGUGAAAUUCUUGGAUCGUCGCAAGACGCUCGAAAGCGAAAGCAAUUGCCAAGUAUGUCUUAAUUGAUCAAGAACGAAAGUUAGAGGUUCGAAGGCGAUCAGAUACCGCCCUAGUUCUAACCAUAAACGAUGCCAGCCAGCGAUCCGCCGAUGUUCUUUCUUUAUGAUGACUCGUGCGGGAAGCUCCUCCCCGGGAAACCAAAGCUUUCGGGUUCUGGGGGGAGUAUGGUUGCAAAGCUGAAACUUAAAGGAAUUGACGGAAGGGCACCACAAGCAGUGGAGCCUGCGGCUUAAUUUGACUCAACACGGGAAACCUCACCAGGUCAGGACAUUGAAAGGAUUGACAGAUUGAUGGCUCUUUCUCGAUUACUGUGGGUAGUGGUGCAUGGCCGUU
rnacentral:rRNA from 1 species